rnacentral:lncRNA from 1 species
ACAGCAGUGUUUGAAGUCUUGAAUUAUAAAACAUGAGAAGGAUAAGAAGAGAAUAAAAGUAUGAGAAAUGUUUGAAACAUUGAAAAUAGAGGGUAAAGAGAAUGGAGGUUUCAGUGAGGUCAAAGGAUUGGUAUAUCAGCAACAGCUUAGUAAGUAACCUAAAUGGACAGGAAGUUGUGGUCAAAAGGAAGAAAAUCUAGUUUUUUGAUUUUCAAGAUGGAGAAGUUUUUUGUGUCUAUGGAACUAUACAAUGGUUGACAAGGUUAUUUUGAAGAUGAAAAAGCCAGAAAUCUGAGAUUUUGAAGUCACCCAAGAUGAGGUCAGAACUAAAAGUAGAACAAAAGACCAUGGCAGACCCAGAGCCUUUAGAGACUGAAUGGGAAUGAUUAUUCCAAGGGUAGAUUUCAGGGACAAGGUAACAGAGAAGGUAUACCAAUGUCAUCUGCCUCAAGACAAGAGGAAUUUGCAUGAAGGGGCAAGAAUAAUCAUCUAGAAUAGCUUGAAGGGAUAAGGUGAUGCAGAUUUUACAUCCAAUUUUGAGGAAUGUUGGAAGUAGGACAAUUGUGAUAAGUUAUAUUUAGAAAACAACCAAAUAAGAUUUCUAGAUAUGAAAUGAUUCUUGGCUUUCAUCAUGUCUCUGUGGAUCCCAGGGAGACUGUAAGAUUCACUUUUCUUCCUUCAAUAAGCAAGAAAUAAAAAGUAAGAAGAGAUUCCAGAAAGUUACAGACAAUUUAACAUCAAAGCAUUAGUUUUAUUAAUAGUCCAGGCAAAUUUUCAAUAACCUCUAACAUUGAAGGAUCUCUGGGUAUAGAUGGUAUGGCAAACAUGAUUUAGAACAACUCUCUAGCUGUAUGGUACACUAUGUACCCUGAACACCACAUAAAAAUACUCAAAGAAUUUCCACAGAAAAUACCCAAGGAACCUGAGUUCACCACUAGAAACAAUACAAAGCUCACAAGUACACCAGUACCUUGUAAUUCAAUGAGGAUAAAACAGCAGAAUCAAACCUACAAUAGCUUCAUAUACUAGAAUUAAUUGCAUAGAAUUUAAAGUAAAUAUCCUUGAUAUGUUUAAAGAAGCAAAAGAGGAGAUAUGAAAAUACAAAUAAGAUGACUAGGCAGAUUUGAAAAAAAGCUAAAUAGGACUUCUAGAUCUGGAAAAAAGGAAGGAAAUAGCCGGGCAUGGUGGCUUACGCUUGUAAUCCCAGCACUUUGGGAGGCCUAGGCAGGCAGAUCACGAGGUCAGGAGAUUGAGACCAUCCUGGUUAACACAGUGAAACCCCAUCUCUACUAAAAAUAUAAAAAUUAGCCGGGUGUGGUGGCAGGCGCCUGUAGUCCCAGCUACUCGGAAGGCUGAGGCAGGAGAAUUGCUUGAACCUGGGAGGCAGAGGUUGCAGCAAGUGAGACAAGAUCACGCCACUGCACUCCAGCCUGGGCAACAGAGCAAGACUGUCAAAAAAAAAAAAAAAAAAAAAAAAAAGGAAGAAAAUGACAAAGAUAAGAGAUGAAAUAAAUGAAAUUGAGACUAGAAAAGCCACAGAAAAGACCAACAACACUAAACAUUGGUUUUUGGAAAACAAAAUUGACAAACCUUUAGUUACACUAAGAAAAAAAAGAGGGAAGACCCAAAUAAAAUCAGAAAUAAAAAAGCCAACUGAUACCACAGAAAUACACAGAGUCUAAACAGACUACUAUGAACAAUUGUACACAAAUUGGAUAACCUAGAAGAAAUGAAUAAAGCCCUAGAAACUUACACAUCUACCAAGAUUGAAUCACGAAGAAAUAGAAAAUCUUAACUGAUAAUAAGUAAGGAAAUUGAAUCAGAAAACAGAUCUGUAGAAAUACCCAGGAUGCAGCACAGAGAUCCUAUGUGACGAAAAAUAGAGUUAAGAAAAAUGGAGACUAGAAUGAGAGAUUCUAAGAAAUUCAACCAGAGUUUCAAGAGCAGAGAAGAUAUGGGGAGAGACAAUAUUCAGAGUUUAUGGCUAAUAAUUGAUGAAAGAACAACAAAUCUCAAGCAGGAAAAAUAAAAAGAAAUUCACAUCUAAAUUUAUUUGAGCAACAUUAAAGAACACCAAAGACCAAGAGAAGAUCUUAGCAACAGAUUACCUACAAUGAACUACAGCAGGGAUCAGGAAACUUUUUCCCAUACAGGACCAAAUAGUAAAUAUUUUAUGUUUUGCAGGUCUUAGGGUUCGCUUUUGCAGCUAUUCAACUCUGCUGUUUUCAUGCAGAAGAAUCCACAGACAAUAUGCAGACAAAUAACCAUGUUUGUGUUCUGAUAAAACUUUAUUUACAGAAACAAGCAGCAAGACAGAUUUUUUUGCUCAAGUCAUAGUUUGCCAACCCAUGAACUACAAAAUAACCCCAACUUUUCAACAGCAACAAAGGCAGCCAAAGAAAAAGGUUUAGUCCUGAAGUCAAGUGGUUGUCUUCUACUACCUCCCCAAGUUCCUCAUUGCCCACUCAACCUGAGCAACCCAGUGUAGCCUGAGAAACCAGCAUUGAGAAGCUGCUAGUCUAUCUAUCUCAAUGAACCUUGAACUGCAAGGCAAGCCUACUGAUAAAUGCAGCCUAAUGACUACAGGUCUCGCCAAUCAGAAAACUGCUCUCCACCUCUUCAACAAUAUCCUCUACUAAAGUUGCUCAAUAUAACCAAUGUAAACAAAAUAUUUAACCAAGGAGCUCACUGGAGGGAUCUAGAAUCUGUUUUUAAUCUCCCCAGCCCUCACAUUACCCCCCAUCCCCCAGUCAAACAGGGAAAGGUCCAUGUACAUAUCAACAUAGGCUCAUCAUUUUUACAAUGAUUACCAAUAUUUCAUCCAAGGAGCUAAAUAACAGAUCAGCUUACGGAAGGAUUACGGCCACAGACUUCUGUGAAUACAUCAAAACAAUAAUGCCAGGAAGAUGAAUAUUCCUCUAGGAAUGCAAUUGUGGAUACUAAGAUGACCAGAAAAUACAUAGGAUUAACAGAGGCUGACAAUGAAUAUUUAUCGUGCCAAUUUGACUUUCAUUUGACCUUGAAGUGCCAUUGUUACUUAAUGUGAAGAUAUCAAGAUGAUAGCACCGCAGAUGCUGCCAAAUGAAAAUUUUGCUGCAAUGAGCUUUUUAUGAAAUAUCGAGGCUAAGCAGAGAACCAGUUCCUCUGACUAAAAUAAUCUCAGUCACUCCCUUCCCUAAAUCACAGUGUGGAGGCUGCUGGCACUCUGGGCUUUCCAUUGCCAGCAACGACACCCUGAAUGUGCUUUGCUAGG